GCACAACGCGAAGAACCUUACCAAGGCUUGACAUACACCAGAACACCCUAGAAAUAGGGGACUCUUUGGACACUGGUGAACAGGUGGUGCAUGGUUGUCGUCAGCUCGUGUCGUGAGAUGUUGGGUUAAGUCCCGCAACGAGCGCAACCCUCGUUCUAUGUUGCCAGCACGUAAUGGUGGGAACUCAUGGGAUACUGCCGGGGUCAACUCGGAGGAAGGUGGGGAUGACGUCAAAUCAUCAUGCCCCUUAUGUCUUGGGCUUCACGCAUGCUACAAUGGCCGGUACAAAGGGCUGCAAUACCGUGAGGUGGAGCGAAUCCCAAAAAGCCGGUCCCAGUUCGGAUUGAGGUCUGCAACUCGACCUCAUGAAGUCGGAGUCGCUAGUAAUCGCAGAUCAGCAACGCUGCGGUGAAUACGUUCCCGGGUCUUGUACACACCG
rnacentral:rRNA from 1 species